rfam:Sorghum bicolor cultivar BTx623 chromosome 1, whole genome shotgun sequence.
UUACAGGAUCUAUUUAGAUCCACCUAAGUAAAGUUUAUAGUUAGUU